rnacentral:rRNA from 1 species
UACGAAGGGGGCUAGCGUUGUUCGGAAUUACUGGGCGUAAAGCGCACGUAGGCGGAUUGUUAAGUCAGAGGUGAAAUCCCGGAGCUCAACUUCGGAACUGCCUUUGAUACUGGCAAUCUCGAGUCCGGAAGAGGUUAGUGGAAUUCCCAGUGUAGAGGUGAAAUUCGUAGAUAUUGGGAAGAACACCAGUGGCGAAGGCGGCUAACUGGUCCGGUACUGACGCUGAGGUGCGAAAGCUAGGGGAGCAAACAGG